AUGACUAGAGAUAACUUGCAGAAGAGAAUGAUGAACAAGCCUUUAAACUGUGUUUUCUGUUCUGAAAAUGAAAGUGUUCAACACCUUCUUUUUGAUUGUUUGGUGGCCAAAAUGGUUUGGAAGGAAGUCAGUAGCUUCCUUGCCAAACCAGUGGGCACCAAUAUGGAAUCUGUUUCUUCAUAUUGGAUUGCUGGAAAAAGACUUGAUGUGUUUAAUACUAUUGUAGCUGCUACACUCUGGGCUUUGUGGAAGCACAGGAAUAGUUUGGUAUUUAACGGUGUCGUCUGGCUAUCUUUGAAACAGAUUUGGUCGCUGAUUUUAAGAACAAUCAGAAGAUGGCGCUUGAUAUUCAAGAAGCACAUGCUGGAGCAGACAGAUCUCUUCUGCCAACGACUUCAGACAAUGGUGCAGGAACCAGAGCUACUGGAGUGGGGGUGA
rnacentral:rRNA from 1 species